rnacentral:rRNA from 1 species
ACUCCUACGGGAGGCAGCAGUAGGGAAUCUUCCACAAUGGGCGCAAGCCUGAUGGAGCAACACCGCGUGAGUGAAGAAGGGUUUCGGCUCGUAAAGCUCUGUUGUUAAAGAAGAACACGUAUGAGAGUAACUGUUCAUACGUUGACGGUAUUUAACCAGAAAGUCACGGCUAAUUACGUGCCAGCAGCCGCGGUAAUACGUAGGUGGCAAGCGUUAUCCGGAUUUAUUGGGGCGUAAAGAGAGUGCAGGCGGUUUUCUAAGUCUGAUGUGAAAGCCUUCGGCUUAACCGGAGAAGUGCAUCGGAAACUGGAUAACUUGAGUGUAGAAGAGGGUAGUGGAACUCCAUGUGUAGCGGUGGAAUGCGUAGAUAUAUGGAAGAACACCAGUGGCGAAGGCGGCUACCUGGUCUGCAACUGACGCUGAGACUCGAAAGCAUGGGUAGCGAACAGGAUUAGAUGCCCUGGUAGGAUAGCG